rnacentral:tRNA from 1 species
UCCGGGGUGGUGUAAUGGUAACACAUCAGCCUUUGGAGCUGAAUUUCUAGGUUCGAAUCCUAGCCCCGGAG